ACACUGCCUCAAAGACAAUUUGAGCCAACUUUCAUGGGUUAUUCAUCCUUAUAAGUAUUUCUUGGUUGUUUAUCAUCACAGUAAAGCACAACAUACCCCUGAAUACGUAUUUCUAGCCACGACUGAGGCUGAGACCCUACAGGUAGUGGCUGAGAGGUAAAGAUCCUCUCAGAUGGAAAGGGUGGUUGCAUGAAAAAAGGUCCUUUUAGAUGGAAAGUGUGGUUGCAUGAUGUUUGGAUUCAUUGGAAGGGGUUGUGGAUCAACAACAUGGACAAUUGGUUGUUGACCCAUGUGGUAGGGUUGACCGAAGUGGAAGUUGCGGGAGUGUUGAACCAUCGUGAGCAUUCAGAUUGAAGGAGUAUAUAAGAA
rnacentral:lncRNA from 1 species